CAGCCGCCACGGGAAUACGUAGGGUGCGAGCGUUAAUCGGAAUUACUGGGCGUAAAGCGCACGUAGGCGGACUUUUAAGUCAGGGGUGAAAUCCCAAGGCUCAACCUUGGAACUGCCUUUGAUACUGGAAGUCUUGAGUUCGGGAGAGGUGAGUGGAACUGCGAGUGUAGAGGUGAAAUUCGUAGAUAUUCGCAAGAACACCAGUGGCGAAGGCGGCUCACUGGCCCGAUACUGACGCUGAGGUGCGAAAGCGUGGGGAGCAAACAGGAUUAGAUACCCCCGUAGUCCCUGUCUCUUAUAC
rnacentral:rRNA from 1 species